UUUGACUAAUAAUUAAUAAGCAGGGCACAACUAGGCAAUUGUGAAGGAAUGAAGUUCCUCAGCUCGCAGCUUGUAAGGGCCUGGCUCCCAGGGAACUAAGGGAGUCCUGGGCUCUCGGGGAGAGCUCCUUUGCCUGAGCAAAGCUCCUUUGUUCCAGGUGGUUUGGUGUGCUGGACACAGCCACACCCUCCCUGCACCUCUUACGGCUUCCAGGACUCCCACCAUUCAGGACUCAUUUUUUGGCUCUUUAGCACAAUUGUUUUGAACUGAAGGAAUCAGAGACUUAGGGCAACUUCUGGAAGUUUCUACCCAGUUGGCAAAGAAACCUUCUCAAUCCCCUACUUACCCUAAACUAAGAGGACCAGAAAGUCUGCAGGCCCCAUGAUAUGCUACAUCUGCUGACACCAGGGAAACUCCACUACAAGGGAGUUGCAGUCUGUCACUCAACUUGCUGAGGACCAACUCUUGGGGGCACAGUCCCUACCUGCAAGCUGCUUGGAUCUCUUUGACAGGUAAAAACACAACCAUGCAGCUCCUGUCUGGCUGGAGGCUGGGAGGGCUAUUGAUUGUGUAAUGAACCAAGGGCCAAGAGGGGGUCCUUGGUAACAUCUUGUGCCCAGGAUCCCAGAUUUCAAACAAAAUCAUUGCUCCCUGGAGGCUGCUGGAACAACCAUUGGUGAGCAGGCAGUCAAUGCCUGUGUUACUUUCCUAGAAUUGUCACAGCCGGACAAUUGUUGGAGCAAAGAGGAUUCACGUCUCAUGAUAAUUUCCAUGGCUGCAGUGUUAUGCUGAGAAGGAUGUUGAGGGCCCGUCUUGUCUUGGCAGGAAGAGCGUUGUCUGGGGAGAAUGUGAUAAAGAGGAGUAACUGAAGAUAAUUGGAGACUAACGUGAUUUCCUCACUGCCAUAAUUAGUGGCAGAGGUGGGACUGGAACACAGGCAAGAAACAUCCCAA